CCAGACUCCUACGGGAGGCAGCAGUGAGGAAUAUUGGUCAAUGGGCGCGAGCCUGAACCAGCCAAGUCGCGUGAGGGAUGAAGGAUCUAUGGUUCGUAAACCUCUUUUAUAAGGGAAUAAAGUGCGGGACGCGUCCCGCUUCGCAUGUACCUUAUGAAUAAGGAUCGGCUAACUCCGUGCCAGCAGCCGCGGUAAUACGGAGGGUGCAAGCGUUGUCCGGAAUCAUUGGGCGUAAAGAGUUCGUAGGCGGCACGUAAAGUCUGGUGUUAAAGGCAGAGGCUCAACUUCUGUACGGCACUGGAUACUUGCGAGCUAGAAUGCGGUAGAGGUAAAGGGAAUUCCUGGUGUAGCGGUGAAAUGCUUAGAUAUCACGCAGAACUCCGAUUGCGAAGGCAGCGCACCGGCGCCCUACUGACGCUCAGGCACGAAAGCGUGGGUAUCGAACAGGAUUAGAUACCCCAGUA
rnacentral:rRNA from 1 species